UACGUAGGGCGCAAGCGUUGUCCGGAAUUAUUGGGCGUAAAGAGCUCGUAGGCGGUCCAUCACGUCGGGAGUGAAAAGCUGGGGCUUAACCCCAGUCCUGCUUCCGAUACGGGUGGACUAGAGGUAGGCAGGGGAGAACGGAAUUCCUGGUGUAGCGGUGAAAUGCGCAGAUAUCAGGAGGAACACCGGUGGCGAAGGCGGUUCUCUGGGCCUUACCUGACGCUGAGGAGCGAAAGCGCGGGGAGCAAACAGG
rnacentral:rRNA from 1 species